rnacentral:lncRNA from 1 species
CAGGAGAUGACAUGGGAAGACAUGGAAGCUUUGUGUCCCUUCCCAUAUACCUUGCUCUCUGCAUCUCUUCCAUUUGGCUCCUCCUGAGUUUGAUUAUUGGCGUGCCUCUCAACAUCCAGCAGAAUGUGGGAAUAUUGCUGAGUUGAGUAAAUAUUUCCUUCCAUAAAGUCUUGAGGAACACAUGGAAUCUAGUGAGGCAUAGAGAAGCUCGGAUGUGCCUGGUUAUCUCCUCACCCAGCCUGAUCUCAGCCUCAUGACUUGGCAUUCCUUUCCUCGGCCACUUCCUUGGCUGGCUUCAGCCUCGACCAGAACCUGCCUCCAUCUGUUACUCAGGUUUAUUGAGACUCAUGGCUCACAAGCCUGGCUGCCUCCCCUGGCUGCGUGCCUCAUCAAGCCCAGCAGGAGCCAGGGAGACCAGC